UACGUAGGUGGCGAGCGUUGUCCGGAAUUACUGGGUGUAAAGGGCGUGUAGGCGGGACUGUAAGUCAGAUGUGAAAUUCCGGGGCUUAACCUCGGCGCUGCAUCUGAAACUAUAGUUCUUGAGUGCUGGAGAGGAAAGCGGAAUUCCUAGUGUAGCGGUGAAAUGCGUAGAUAUUAGGAGGAACACCAGUGGCGAAGGCGGCUUUCUGGACAGUAACUGACGCUGAGGCGCGAAAGCGUGGGGAGCAAACAGG
rnacentral:rRNA from 1 species